UGACAUUGGCAGUAUUUUCAGUAUUGUACAAUCAAAUAGUAUUAGUAUUAAUGGCUAAUAAAAAUACAUCAGCCAAAAAUAUCAUAAAUCUUGAUAAAAUAUUUCCUAUUAAAAGUCAUAAUAGUUAGUCACUGAAAACAAAAAUUAAGGCUGAUGAAAACAUUAAAAAUACAUUGGUUACUUGGUUAGCAGAGUUAAUAGGUGUCAAUAAUGUUGGAAAUAGUGUUCAAAGAAUUGUAUCAAGAAUGUUAAGUAAUUUUUUACAAUCUGAAUAUUCAUUACAUGGAUUUAAAUCAAAGCUAUGUUUUUCAAGCUUAAACAACUAUUGAGUAGAUGCUAUACUAGUUAAUGUAAAGUACAGUGUUGUUCCUGAAAAAUAAAUCAACAAUUCAUUGGGCAUUUAGCUAUCCCAUGCUCCCUUCCGUAUCAAAAAGCUAUUUUGAAAACAAGAAAAACUUGAGAAUUUUUAA